ensembl:lncRNA novel transcript
GGCAGAGCCAAAACCGUAACAGCCAGAGCUAGAGACUCCGGCCUGGGGUUCUGGCUCUGUCCCGUAUCAGCUAGGAAACCCAGGGCAAGCUACUUAAACUCUCAGAGGCUCAGCUUUUUCAUGAGCAAACAGGAAAACAGGGCUAAUGAUUAGUCCUUGGCUUAAAAUACAUACCGCGUGUGAAAUUGCAGGUAUAUAAUAGAUUCACUAAAUGAGAGCACAAAUAAUGUAUGUUUUCUGAACCAUCUGAGGGCGAGUUAUCAACACUUACUCUCCAAUGCGUCAUCACCCCCAACACUCCUGUGUAUUUCCUGCAAAUAAGGAUCUUCUCCUACAUGGUCAGUCCGAACAACCUUCAGUCACAACUGAGAAGGUCACAUGGUGCAUCACUGCCGCUCAGUCUCCCCAAGCCCAGUGAUUUCUUCACAGUUCUCCUGCCGCCAGCUGUCUCUCCUGAGUCCUGAGCACCACAUCUCUGGACCGUCUGGAGCCUCCCCUCCCUUGGCUUACUGCUCCCACCACCCUCUCUCUCCACCUUGCAAGAGACACUCUCCCUCAUCCUGGGUCAUCACCCUCUUUAGAGGCGCCGCCUGGCCACGAGGCAUCAGAUGGAGUGCAGCCGGGAGCAAGAUUCUCAUAGCAAUUACAAAGAUUCACAAGAAAAUGUGCCCUCCACUACACAGCUGUAAUUUACAUGCUUUCAAACUUGAUAUGGAAUGACUGUGGUUUCCCCUGAAAGAAGCAUCACUGAUCUCUGCACAGGAGAAACAAGGAUCUUGCUCUGUCACCUAGGCUGGAGUGCAAUGGCACACUCACGGCUCACUGCAGCGUCAAACUCCCAGGCUCAAGUGUUCCUCCUACCUCAGCCUCCUGAGUAGCUAGGACCACAGCACAGGCCCAGACACAAAGCAGAUGUGCAGUGGAGUGUGAAAGAGGCAGCCAACUCACUGGGGAGCUUCAGAGGGAGAUGGCCCAAAUUGCUGGGGCCUAAGAAUCUCCCGGAAUGAAGGAACAGUAGAAAGAACUGGAAGCCAAAUAUGGUGAUAGAGACUCUCAUCAAGGACACUGAGUAAACCAGAAACCUGCUUGGGCUCACGUUCCUUGUCUCUUCUUCUCAGAUCCAGGAAAGGAGCUGUCCAGGACAAUGAGGAUAGGCUGAGGAAAGACAGGCCACGGCCUUGCCUCUGUGCCAGCUCUCAUGGGCCAGGCAGAGUAUCCCAGGACAACUGCCUCCACAACCAGCUCCAUCCUUCAUCAGCAAUUCAGUACCUGAUUAACAAAUCUGUACCCCAGGAGGUUAUGCCAAGUCCAACUUCUUCCAGAGACCACAACAAUAAAUCCAAGCCACUGCUAAUGUCAUUUAUAAGCUGUGGGAUUAAAACAGAGAAGCAAUCAAUUAAUUAAAA